rnacentral:lncRNA from 1 species
GUCUUUUCAGGUAACCCGGAAACUAAGUCACCAGAAUGGCUUUGGGUUUUACAUUUGGGAGCAUACCCCGCCUUCUUCAAAAGGAAAUCAGGGUCCAGACAAGCAUUUGGGUGAGACAUUGGAACUUUUCCACAAAUCCGCUUGGCCGGCCUAGGUGAAGAGGAAGUUGAGUCGGAAGAAAUAGAAAUUACCUCAACCACGUCAUCUUGGCUCUCAUAGCCAUCGUCCUACGCAUAAAGGUAACAGGAUAUAAGCAUAAGUCGGAACAUAAUGAUGAUAAACAAAAGGGUAAAGUUUUACCUCUGACUGUUCUUCGCCGGCUUGGGACUCGCCGACGACGGAUGACUCCUUGAUGGUGGCUUUGCCCUUGCUCGUCUUCUUCUUCUUCGACGGCGGCAGUUUAGUUGUUUUUU